rnacentral:rRNA from 1 species
AUGCUUAUAUAUGCAAGCUUAACUACUUGGUGCAACGACUCUCCACUCAAAUGGAUAGAUCAGGUAAUUUUCUUCAACAAAUUCUCUAUAAUGAAUGUCCAAUAUAUUACAUUACCGUAUAUGCUCAAUUAUUAUUUUUUCUUACUAAAAUUUGAAGUGAUAGGCACCACCAAUCACCAAUUGGAGGUAGAUAAUGUGAUUGGAACUCGUGAAAAUGGUCACCAAGAAGUAGAGGAGGCAGGAUGGUCUAUGAGCUUUAGUUUGUGUUCUUUUUUGAGGGAGGCCAUUCACAAUUAUUUAUUUAUUUUCCUUACUAAAAUUUGA